rnacentral:tRNA from 1 species
GGGGUUGUAGCUUAGUGAUAGAGUGCUUGCCUAGCAUGCAUGAGGCACUGGGUUUGAUCCUCAGCAACACAU